CCUACGGGUGGCAGCAGUGAGGAAUAUUGGUCAAUGGCCGAGAGUCUGAACCAGCCAAGUCGCGUGAGGGAAGACAGCCCUACGGGUUGUAAACCUCUUUUGUCGGGGAGCAAAGCGAACCACGUGUGGUUCAUUGAGCGUACCCGAAGAAAAAGCAUCGGCUAACUCCGUGCCAGCAGCCGCGGUAAUACGGAGGAUGCGAGCGUUAUCCGGAUUUAUUGGGUUUAAGGGGUGCGCAGGCGGAGGUGCAAGUCAGCGGUCAAAUUGCGGGGCUCAACCCCGUACUGCCGUUGAAACUGCAGCCCUGGAGGGCGCGAGAAGUAUGCGGAAUGCGUGGGGUAGCGGUGAAAUGCAUAGAUAUCACGCAGAACUCCGAUUGCGAAGGCAGCAUACCGGAGCGCAACUGACGCUCAUGCACGAAAGCGUGGGUAUCGAACAGGAUUAGAGACCCCGGUAGUC
rnacentral:rRNA from 1 species